GUGGCCAGAGAGCGUCUUCCUGGCCGGAGUUUGCGGUUCCAGAUCCUCCCCAGGACCUGCCAAGAGGACCAGCUUUCCCAGUUGCAGCGGGAGGCUUGCAAGCAGCCAGGAUUCAGUUCAGAUACUGUACUUUUAAGUUACGGCAAAAGUUUCCUGCGGUAUUCUCUACUCUCACAACUAGUUUUGAUCUUUAGUCUGCUGAACCAGUUGUUCGAUGGCACAGCUCUACUUUUAGAGCUGACUUCUAGGAUCCCUUAGCUCCAGGUUCAACUCACCCCUUAAGAUGAUCUUUCCACGAUCCCUCCGUGGAAAAUGAAUUGUCCUUCAAGGAUAUCCUAAGAAAACUUCUGGCAGAGACUUGGCAGUAUAAGUUCAAGCUCUCAUGAUUUUAAGUUGGCUUCUCAUUAAAGGCCAGCAUGCUUAGCAUGUACCUGGGUCUCAUCACCAACACCUCCCAAAGUAGAAGUCUGUCAGCACAAGUGUCCAGAGGAGUGAACGAAGCACAGGAAGAGACAAUGAGCCAGCCUCUCAAGUCCACUUGAAGAGCACAAGAAGGCACCAGGACGCCAACAGCUGAGCUUAGGCAUGGCUGUAAGCACCUUUUGUGGAUACUUGGAACCCAAUGCCCAUCUUCUGCGAGAGCAUAAGGAUUUCUUUACCACUGAGCCACCUGAAUUAGGCCCCACCAAAAUUUUCUGGACCCUAGUGGUUCAGAAAAUACAAAAAUGGGUGUCAAAUAAUGUUGACACCCGUGAUAGAUGAAAUGUGAUACAGUUUGGGGGCCUGUUAACUAAACAACAAAACAAAAUGCUUAGACCUGUGAUCUACUAGUAUAAUUAGUUA